rnacentral:rRNA from 1 species
CUGGCGGCAGGCCUAACACAUGCAAGUCGAGCGGUAGAGAGAAGCUUGCUUCUCUUGAGAGCGGCGGACGGGUGAGUAAUGCCUAGGAAUCUGCCUGGUAGUGGGGGAUAACGUUCGGAAACGGACGCUAAUACCGCAUACGUCCUACGGGAGAAAGCAGGGGACCUUCGGGCCUUGCGCUAUCAGAUGAGCCUAGGUCGGAUUAGCUAGUUGGUGAGGUAAUGGCUCACCAAGGCGACGAUCCGUAACUGGUCUGAGAGGAUGAUCAGUCACACUGGAACUGGGACACGGUCCAGACUCCUACGGGAGGCAGCAGUGGGGAAUAUUGGACAAUGGGCGAAAGCCUGAUCCAGCCAUGCCGCGUGUGUGAAGAAGGUCUUCGGAUUGUAAAGCACUUUAAGUUGGGAGGAAGGGUUGUAGAUUAAUACUCUGCAAUUUUGACGUUACCGACAGAAUAAGCACCGGCUAACUCUGUGCCAGCAGCCGCGGUAAUACAGAGGGUGCAAGCGUUAAUCGGAAUUACUGGGCGUAAAGCGCGCGUAGGUGGUUUGUUAAGUUGGAUGUGAAAUCCCCGGGCUCAACCUGGGAACUGCAUUCAGAACUGACUGACUAGAGUAUGGUAGAGGGUGGUGGAAUUUCCUGUGUAGCGGUGAAAUGCGUAGAUAUAGGAAGGAACACCAGUGGCGAAGGCGACCACCUGGACUAAUACUGACACUGAGGUGCGAAAGC